rnacentral:rRNA from 1 species
UACGUAGGGUCCGAGCGUUGUCCGGAAUUACUGGGCGUAAAGCGCGCGCAGGCGGCCCGCGAGGUGUCACGUGAAAGCCCCGGGCUCAACCCGGGAGGGUCGUGGCAAACCGGCGGGCUUGAGGCCGGUAGAGGUGGGUGGAACUCCUGGUGGAGUGGUGAAAUGCGUAGAGAUCGGGAGGAACACCUGUGGCGAAGGCGGUGAUCUGGGCCGACACUGACGCUGUAGAGCGAAAGCGUGGGGAGCGAACAGG